UUCAGUCUCGUGUAGAGGAAUAUUCGAAAAAUAAUUACUUAAUUAUUUUUCUUGUAAUAUAUUGACGAAAAUUUUCAAUUGUUCCUGCUGAAGGAAAAAUAUUUCUCCAAACAAAACUUCCCUAGGGGUGAGAGGGACCUGCCGGGUUGAACAGUGCCGACGUGUUAUUGUUGUCGGCGUGGCACUCCCACGACACCAAGCAGAUGCCGGCCCCAGCGCCGCCACCCGCCACCCGACAGCCGCCACUGUCACUCACAAUUUUGUCUCACGAGUGACCCUUCAAUGCGUUGUGGGAAAUUGAUUCCGGGUUCACGCAGCCACUGUUGCACAAUGAAUUUGCAACCACUCAAUCCUAGGCAUUGUUUGUUUGAUAAUCUUGGAAGCUUCGAGAUGUAUGGGUCUAAUACAUUGCAUUAUAUCAAAUUA